UACGAAGGGGGCUAGCGUUGCUCGGAAUUACUGGGCGUAAAGCGCACGUAGGCGGAUCUUUAAGUCAGGGGUGAAAUCCUGGAGCUCAACUCCAGAACUGCCUUUGAUACUGAGGACCUUGAGUUCGGGAGAGGUGAGUGGAACUGCGAGUGUAGAGGUGAAAUUCGUAGAUAUUCGCAAGAACACCAGUGGCGAAGGCGGCUCACUGGGCCGAUACUGACGCUGAGGAGCGAAAGCGUGGGGAGCGAACAGG
rnacentral:rRNA from 1 species